GACGAACGCUGGCGGCGCGCUUAACACAUGCAAGUCGAGCGAGAACCAGGCUUUCGGGCCUGGGGAAAGCGGCGAACGGGUGAGUAACACGUGGGUAAUCUGCCCUCGGCACCGGAAUAGCCCGGGGAAACCCGGAUUAAUGCCGGAUAGCCUCUCGAGCCCUCGGGCUCGUGAGAAAAGGUAGCUUCGGCCUCUGGCCGAGGAGGAGCCCGCGGCGGGAUUAGCUUGUUGGUGGGGUAACGGCUCACCAAGGCGACGAUCCGUAGCUGGUCUGAGAGGACGAUCAGCGAUACUGGGACGAAGACACGGCCCAGACUCCUACGGGAGGCAGCAGUGGGGAAUCUUGCGCAAUGGGCGAAAGCCUGACGCAGCGACGCCGCGUGCGGGAAGAAGGCCUUCGGGUUGUAAACCGCUUUCAGGAGGGACGAAGCCACUCGGGUUAAUAGCCCAGAGGGUGACGGUACCUCCAGAAGAAGCCCCGGCUAACUACGUGCCAGCCGCCGCAGUAAUAC
rnacentral:rRNA from 1 species